GGGAAGCGUGGCCUUGAAUGAGAGAAGGAAGCAAGGGCUCCAAGGAAAGGCCUGAGUGUCCCCAGUUCAGCGCCACUGUCUCCCCACCUCCCAGCAUCUUCCCUCCUGGGGAAGGGGCCUGCGGCUCCUCCUGGAGUCCCGGAUUCUGUUGGACACCAUAUUCUGAGACUUGAGGGGUUCCUGCCAAGUCUCUGAUGGGAGGAAUAUUCCAUCAGCGGAACAUGAGGGUCAAGGUUCCCAUGAAGAGGUUAAUACAUUGAAGGAAGCUCCGUAACAGAUAGAGUGGAGGUUCCAGAAUGCCUGGUAGAAGAAGGAGCUUCAGCAAAACCUUUGGCCAACAGUCAAGGUGCCAGAUGUCACUUCCAAACGUGAACCAGCAGCUCCCUCACAAUCGCAUCGUAACAGGCGUCUCCUAAGAUGACCACCCCCACAGACCGCAUCUCAGAUCCCCAAGAUACCUGGCCUUUCCUACUGGGCAAGGGUCAGGCUUGGGGUCGGAGAGGCCCAUUAAACCCUGCCUAAGGACUUUCCUGGUGGAGACAGGAGACAGCCAGCAUGGCCACAGUCAAGGUGGGGAAGAGAGGCCCCACCCACU
ensembl:lncRNA